rnacentral:rRNA from 1 species
UACGGAGGGCGCUAGCGUUGUUCGGAUUCACUGGGCAUAAAGGGCGCGUAGGCUGACAAUUUAGUUGGAUGUGAAAGCCCCCGGCCCAACCGGGGAACUGCAUUCGAUACUGGUUGACUAGAGGAUGGUAGGGGCCAAUGGAACUCCAAGUGGAAAGGUGAAAUGUGUAGAUAUCUGGAGGAACACCGGUGGCGAAGGCGAUUGGCUGGCUCAUCUCUGACGCUGAGGCGCGAAAGCCAGGGGAGCGAACGGGAUUAGAUACCCCGGUAGUCCUGGCCGUAAACGAUGGGCGCUAGGCAAUGGCCUUACCUAUGUGGGUCAUUGCUGUAGCUAAUGUGUUAAGUGCCCCGGCUGGGGAGUACGCUCGCAAGGGUAAAUCUCAAAGGAAUUGACGGGGGAUCACACAAGCGGUGGAGCAUGUGGUUUAAUUCGAAGCAACGCGAAGAACCUUACCUAUCCUUGGCAUCUAUGGAUUAGUCCUGUGAAAGCAGGGUGACAGCCCUUCGGGGUCCGAACAUAGACAGGUGUUGCAUGGCUGUUGUCACCUCGUGUCGUGAGAUGUCGGGUUAAGUUCCAUAACGAGCGAAUCCCUUGUUUCUAGUUGCCAGCGGGUCAUGCCGUGGACUCUAGCGAGACUCACGUUGUUAAAACGGAGGAAGGUGGGGACGAUCGUCAAGUCAUCAUGGCCGUUAUGGCUAGGUCUUCACACGCGCUACAAUGGUGCGUACAAAGGGUUUCCAGACCGCGAGGUCAAGGCAAUAUCAUAAAGCGGCCUCCAGUUUGGAUUGGAGGUUGCAAUUUGCCUCCAUGAAACUGGAAUUGCUAGUAAUCGGGUAUCAACCAUGACGCGGUGAAUAUGUUCCUGAUCCU